CUGUUCUUUGUUCCCUGCAGAUACUGUACUCCGGGCAAGCAGCAACCCUGUGAGCGACGUGGAGGCCUGGCCAUAUAAAUGCAUCUCUGACAGCUUCCUGUUGCUCCCUAAUUUGAGCUUUGGCAGGCCACCAGAGGAAGUGAAUCCCUGAGACUCUCCUGAUGCAAGACGAGCAAAGAAAAGGAAGCAGGCAAGGAGGGAAAAAGCAAUGGCAACAAAUACUGGUGAUCUCUUACAUGGGCAAGAUUGCAAAAUAGCUGCCCCCAGAAAGCAGGCCCAGGCAUUAGAAUCGCUAACAGCUGGCGCUUGCAAAACAACUGUGUUAAUUGCUUUAAAUACCUAA
rnacentral:lncRNA from 1 species